UACAGAGGGUGCAAGCGUUGUUCGGAAUUAUUGGGCGUAAAGGGCGCGUAGGCGGUGCGGUAAGUCUGUAGUGAAAUCUCUGGGCUCAACUCAGAGUCUGCUAUAGAAACUGCCGUGCUUGAGUGUGGGAGAGGUGAGUGGAAUUCCCGGUGUAGCGGUGAAAUGCGUAGAUAUCGGGGGGAACACCUGUGGCGAAAGCGGCUCACUGGACCACAACUGACGCUGAGGCGCGAAAGCUAGGGGAGCAAACAGG
rnacentral:rRNA from 1 species